GGUCUCAUGGUCUAGUGGUUAUGACUCCGGAUUUUGAUGUGAAUGCGGAAAUUCCGGCACCCUGGGUUCGAAUCCCAGUGAGACCU